rnacentral:rRNA from 1 species
UACGUAGGGUGCAAGCGUUGUCCGGAAUUAUUGGGCGUAAAGAGCUCGUAGGCGGUUUGUCGCGUCUGCUGUGAAAACUCGGGGCUUAACCCCGGGCCUGCAGUGGGUACGGGCAGACUAGAGUGCGGUAGGGGAGACUGGAAUUCCUGGUAUAGCGGUGAAAUGCGCAGAUAUCAGGAGGAACACCGGUGGCGAAGGCGGGUCUCUGGGCCGUAACUGACGCUGAGGAGCGAAAGCGUGGGGAGCGAACAGG